rnacentral:rRNA from 1 species
UACGUAGGGUCCAAGCGUUAAUCGGAAUUACUGGGCGUAAAGCGUGCGCAGGCGGCUUCGCAAGUCAGACGUGAAAUCCCCGGGCUUAACCUGGGAAUGGCGUUUGAAACUACGGAGCUGGAGUGUGGCAGAGGGAGGUAGAAUUCCACGUGUAGCGGUGAAAUGCGUAGAUAUCAGGAAGAACACCCGUGGCGAAGGCGGUUCUCUGGGACGGUACUGACGCUGAGACGCGAAAGCGUGGGGAGCGAACAGG